CCUUACCUGGCCUUGACAUGCAGAGAACUUUCCAGAGAUGGAUUGGUGCCUUCGGGAACUCUGACACAGGUGCUGCAUGGCGUCGUCAGCUCGUGUCGUGAGAUGUUGGGUUAAGUCCCGUAACGAGCGCAACCCUUGUCCUUAGUUACCAGCACGUUAUGGUGGGCACUUUAAGGAGACUGCCGGUGACAAACCGGAGGAAGGUGGGGAUGACGUCAAGUCAUCAUGGCCCUUACGGCCAGGGCUACACACGUGCUACAAUGGUCGGUACAGAGGGUUGCCAAGCCGCGAGGUGGAGCUAAUCCCACAAAACCGAUCGUAGUCCGGAUCGCAGUCUGCAACUCGACUGCGUGAAGUCGGAAUCGCUAGUAAUCGUGAAUCAGAAGACGUCGGAUGCACA
rnacentral:rRNA from 2 species